GAUCAUGGCUCAGGAUGAACGCUAGCUACAGGCUUAACACAUGCAAGUCGAGGGGAAACGAUAUUGGAAGCUUGCUUCCGAUAGGCGUCGACCGGCGCACGGGUGAGUAACGCGUAUCCAACCUGCCCACCACUUGGGGAUAACCUUGCGAAAGUAAGACUAAUACCCGAUGAUAUCUCUAGACGACAUCUGAAAGGGAUUAAAGAUUUAUCGGUGAUGGAUGGGGAUGCGUCUGAUUAGCUUGUUGGCGGGGUAACGGCCCACCAAGGCAACGAUCAGUAGGGGUUCUGAGAGGAAGGUCCCCCACAUUGGAACUGAGACACGGUCCAAACUCCUACGGGAGGCAGCAGUGAGGAAUAUUGGUCAAUGGGCGAGAGCCUGAACCAGCCAAGUAGCGUGCAGGACGACGGCCCUAUGGGUUGUAAACUGCUUUUAUAAGGGAAUAAAGUGAGUCUCGUGAGACUUUUUGCAUGUACCUUAUGAAUAAGGACCGGCUAAUUCCGUG
rnacentral:rRNA from 1 species